CAACAAGGCCUUUACUGACGCUAAAGCUCGAAGGUGCGGGUAUCGAACAGGAUUAGAUACCCUGGUAGUCCGCACGGUAAACGAUGGAUGCCCGCUGUUUGCGAUAUACUGUGAGCGGCCAAGAGAAAUCGUUAAGCAUCCCACCUGGGGAGUACGCCGGCAACGGUGAAACUCAAAGGAAUUGACGGGGGCCCGCACAAGCGGAGGAACAUGUGGUUUAAUUCGAUGAUACGCGAGGAACCUUACCCGGGCUUGAACUGCAGCAGACGGAUCUAGAGAUAGUGACUCCCUUCGGGGCUGCUGUGGAGGUGCUGCAUGGUUGUCGUCAGCUCGUGCCGUGAGGUGUCGGCUUAAGUGCCAUAACGAGCGCAACCCUUUUCAUUAGUUGCCAUCAGGUAAUGCUGGGCACUCUGGUGAUACUGCCACCGUAAGGUGUGAGGAAGGUGGGGAUGACGUCAAAUCAGCACGGCCCUUACGUCCGGGGCUACACACGUGUUACAAUGGGAGGUACAGAGAGUCGGAUGUACGCAAGUACAUUCUAAUCCUAAAAGCCUUCCUCAGUUCGGAUUGGGGUCUGCAACCCGACCCCAUGAAGCUGGAU
rnacentral:rRNA from 1 species